UGGGGAAUAUUGGACAAUGGGCGCAAGCCUGAUCCAGCAAUGCCGCGUGGGUGAAGAAGGUCUUCGGAUUGUAAAGCCCUUUCGGCGGGGACGAUGAUGACGGUACCCGCAGAAGAAGCCCCGGCUAACUUCGUGCCAGCAGCCGCGGUAAUACGAAGGGGGCUAGCGUUGCUCGGAAUGACUGGGCGUAAAGGGCGCGUAGGCGGCGGCCAUCGUCGGAUGUGAAAUUCCUGGGCUUAACCCGGGGGCUGCAUUCGAUACGUGGUCGCUGGAGUGCGGAAGAGGGUCGUGGAAUUCCCAGUGUAGAGGUGAAAUUCGUAGAUAUUGGGAAGAACACCGGUGGCGAAGGCGGCGACCUGGUCCGUGACUGACGCUGAGGCGCGAAAGCGUGGGGAGCAAACAG
rnacentral:rRNA from 1 species